rnacentral:rRNA from 1 species
GUUGAACGCUGGCGGCAGGCUUAACACAUGCAAGUCGAACGAGCGGCGGACGGGUGAGUAAUGUCUGGGAAACUGCCUGAUGGAGGGGGAUAACUACUGGAAACGGUAGCUAAUACCGCAUACCAUCGGAUGUGCCCAGAUGGGAUUAGCUAGUAGGUGGGGUAAUGGCUCACCUAGGCGACGAUCCCUAGCUGGUCUGAGAGGAUGACCAGCCACACUGGAAAUGAGACACUGUCCAGACUCCUACGGGAGGCAGCAGUGGGGAAUAUUGCACAAUGGGCGCAAGCCUGAUGCAGACAUGCCGCGUGUGUGAAGAAGGCCUUCGGGUUGUAAAGUACUUUCAGCGGGGAGGCGUUACCCGCAGAAGAAGCACCGGCUAACUCCGUGCCAGCAGCCGCGGUAAUAC